AAGACUAUACUUUCAGGGAUCAUUUCUAUAGUUCGUUCCUUGAGAAAUGUGUGUCUAA
rnacentral:snoRNA from 8 species